CGGAACACGUACGCAACCUUCCCAUAACAGGUGAAUAGCCUUCCGAAAGGGAGAUUAUUACACCGUAACAUAAUGAAGAGGCAUCUUUUUAUUAUUAUAGGCAGCAAUGUCGGUUUUGGAUGGGCGUGCGACUGAUUAGGUAGUUGGUGAGGGUAACGGCCCACCAAGCCUGCGAUCAGUAACUGGUGUGAGAGCACGACCAGUCACACGGGCACUGAGACACGGGCCCG
rnacentral:rRNA from 1 species